CUAAAGCUUUUUUACUUUCUUCAAGCUCCGUACAGACUUGGGAAACCAUGCUGAUAUCUUUGGUGCAAGGCCAAAGAUAAUUUCAGUUUUCAAGUUGGAAUGAAUUACCAAUAUAAAAAACCUGCUUGCGAAGUAGAUGACAAUUGUUGCGCUAGCUUGCCGUCAAAGUACUGAAAACUCCUUAAGGUAUUGAUAUUUACUGAUCAAUUUUGAAUACUUUUUCGUUUAUUAAAACAGAUUGGUCUAAUUUAAUGAUAGAAUUACCAUGGAUCAUGAUUGACUCACUAUUGAUCCCUUUCAAUAUCAUGCGUGCUAAUGUUUUUCUAAAUUCUCUAAGUACAUGAAGUUGGAACGUUCUUCACCUAUAACGAUUGGAUAAGUGUUAAACUAUUAAUAACACCCUCAACAUAGGAACAAUUCGUAUUUAUUUUUACAUUUUGAUCCAUUAUAUUUGGGGCAGAAGAUAGAGUAGAUAUUGUACAAGUAUAAUAACAAUCUGAAUGAAAUUUGCGAGUACUCUCUUUCUGUUCACCUUCCGAAACUGCUUAACUGAUCAUUAUCCGACUCAGAUGGAUUGAAAAAUAUAAGGGAUUGUGAAACUUUGGUUAUAUUUAGCAAGGAAAUCUUUCACUACUUCUCCAGACCUGGUGUUCAGCUUCGGCAAUCACCUAAUCCCAAACUUCGUUUCUAUCUUCCAUUACUUCAUUAAACUCCUUUCCCAUCUCAAAUGAGUGCAAAAUCUGUUACCAUUGUUCUGUUUUAAUUUUCUCCUUCGUUUUGGACUGCUGCAAUACCUUUUAAUUCUUAUUUUGUAUCAUGUUAUGAAGAUUCACAUUUUUAUUCAUGUAUGAACAGAGGCUUUUGACGGGCUGAAUAUAUAAGUUCAUUCUGCAUACUUUCCUCAGAACUAGGUCAAACAUCAAGCAAUUCAAAUGAGCCACACGCUCUCAACUUUACAGAGGUUUCGACUGAUGGUAAUGCCAAAAACAAGAGAAGUAUGACUCAGCGGAAUUUUGUUGUGCUGGUGGUACAUCUCAACACUUUCAAACAUAUGUCCAAAAGAAACCAUGGAAAGAAUCUUUUUAUUAGCAGAGACAUGACACUUUGCACGCCAUGCUGUGCAUUCUCUAUUUUACUAUUAUGCAUAACAUAUUGUAUCAACUUUUAAAAAUUUACAAAUAGCACGUCGUUCAUGUUGGGCCCGGGCGUUCCUUACUAGUUUU